CGGGACGUAGCGCAGCCUGGUAGCGCGUCGCCUUUGGGUGGCGAAGGUCCUCGGUUCGAAUCCGGGCGUCCCGA
rnacentral:tRNA from 1 species